rnacentral:sRNA from 1 species
GGAGCCGGCCCGGCUCAGUCUGAUUUACGGCUCUGCUGAAAACCGCUUCGCUCCCGCAGCAUCAGCACCGGUGGCGGCGGCUGCAGCAGCAGCAACAAGUCGGAGAAGUUGUCACAUUCAACCAUUUCCUGGAAGCGGCAGCUGAGAAGGAGGUUCAAGGGAAAGCCCGGCUCCAGGACUUUAUUGAGAAUCUGUUACAGCGGGUAGAACUGGCGGAGAAGCAGCUCGAGUACUAUCAGAGCCAACAGGCCUCUGGCUUUGGCCAUGAUCUCAGCGGGCAUGUGCUUACAGACAUCUCCUCAAAUAGGAAGCCUAAAUGCCUAAGCCGAGGGCACCCGCAUUCGGUGUGUAACCACUCUGAUCUCAAGGCCCAUUUCCACCCAAAGGGAAGGAACCACCUGAAAAAGGCCAAGGAUGACAGAGCCAGCAUGCAGCCUGCCAAGGCCAUUCACGAACAGGCCGAGUCCUCAAGAGACCUCUGCAGACCUCCGAAGAAAGGGGAGCUCCUGGGGUUUGGCCGCAAAGGCAACAUCAGGCCCAAAAUGGCUAAAAAAAAGCCAACAGCCAUUGUGAACAUCAUCUAAAAGGGUGGGUGGUGCUGGACCAAUCAUUGCUGGGCUUUGGGGAACGUUGUUCCAGGGGCCAACAGUAAUGUCUUUCUGGAAACAUUCCAUAGUAAGACACAUUGGAAAAGCCAAGGGCAUAACACAGGCAAGCACCUCGAUUAGCCAGAGCUUAGCAAAUGGGAAUCUUAGUGAACCAGAAUUUUAUUAAAGCCCCCUUUUAGAAGCUUGCAAAUUACAGAAAGAAUAAAAAAAAAAAUCAAUCUUAAAGCUCUAACUUCUAAAGUGACUGGCCCAGUCUCCAGUAAUCUUGGCAUCUGGGCGUCUGUGCAGUGGUCGUUAAUUUUCAGGACCAAGGCCACACAAAAUGUCAGGCCUAGGGAGAAAAUUCAUCUGUGCCCACUGCUCUCCAAAGCGUGAGGCAAGGAAUGGGAGUGUAAAGUUCUGUUAAUAGCAGUAAAAUGAAGAUAUUUGUGUUUGUGUAUAACCUUCCCCUCAGCUAAUUUGAAAGCCUACAAAAUAAGGAUUCCCAUUCCCCGAGUAUUCUGGUUAAUCAAGAUUUCAAUUUCUGGGUUGCUCGAGGGACUCGUUCAGUCAGACUUCAGUUCUCAUUCCGACAGAGUGUCUUUCAGUUUGUUUGAUUGAGGUUUUUUGGUGGCCUAGAUGCAUGUUUAUUCAGAUUUUGGUACACCUCUGCCGUCUUCUUUGGCUGAGUAUUCUGCACCCACAGACCACGCUGCCAGCCUCUAUCUUAAUAGCUGCUUCUGUGGAUAUGGCUGGGGAGCGAAGUAAAACCCUCUUUUGAUUAGCACCCAGCAUGGGCUCAGCGACUAGGUGGUUGGAAUGACAGUGGACUGCACGUUUGGUGCAUCGUGACCAUCUGGAAGCACUGCGGGUGUCACCAAGCCCUUUCCUAAGACCUGCUUCUCGGACAGUGUCAGUGGCCCUCUCUCUCUUUGCUAUGGGCAUGACUUUCUCUUCGCUGGCUUAACUUUUCCACUGGGUGGUUCACUUCGCCUCCUGCUGCUUCUGUGCCCUGUUAAGGCUUCAGGUAUCUUUCAACCAAGUAUCUGGAGUGUUCACUGUAUGUUGCAUUCUAAAGUAAUUUCUGAAAUAAACAAUGCAUGUAGGAGCCAGAAUCUGACACUGUCUUCCCCUCCUUCCCUCCCUAAAAUGGCUUUUGUUUCCACAAAGAGCUGUUAAGAAGUUCCUGCUGUAUGAUUUUCCUCAAGAAUGAAUUUCCAUGUUAUUUUUUCCUUAAAUUUAGCAAUAUCAUCAGGUCUCAUGCAGAGUUUAUAAGUGCUGACAUUCUUCUGAAAACAGGAAUAAUUUUGUCCACAAAUAUAUACAUAUAUACAUAUAUAUAACACAUACAAAAUAUAUAUGUUAAGUAUAUUAAUAAUUUAUUUUUAAAUACUCAUGGAGAAAGUGUGUGUUUGUGGUGGGUGGUUUUUAAACUAUAUAUGUUUGUUCAUGUAAACUGAAUUCUCUUAUUUAAAAAAUCAAAACUGUAAUGUGAUUAACAUUGGCAGAAUUAUGAUUGUUAUUGCAAUAAGCAUCAAAUUAGCAGCGCAUUAAAAAUAGGAAAUAAAGCAGUUGCUUAAAAUGCCAGUCAAUUGAAAAGUGUAACUUAUCAUUAUACAAACAUUUUGAACCUGUCAUAAUGAAAAUGUUCUUGAAUCUUCACUUUGACUUUCGGUUUAUGGGGGGUAGAUCAUUCAUGUGAUAUAUAAGCAGCUAUCAAGUGGGGAAAAACAUUGCUGUGAAUAUCACUGUUUAGGCUAACAUUGUAAAAAUUGUAAUGUUAUAAUUAUUAUUUAUUUGGAGAAUUAACUUCCCCCUCUAAAGUUAUUUAUUAUUGAUGCUUAUACCAUGAUUGCACUUUAGCCUUUUACAUACUAAAAACAUGACUUGUUAGUUGUAUUGCAUGCUCUUUGUCCCGUAAUGUGUGUGCAAUGACAACUUGUUUCUGUUUUAUUUAAAGUAACUGACAUUUCGGAUUUUCAUCUAACAUACCUAGAGGGCAUGGCAACUCUCUUUGACAGUGGUACCCCCAUGAUCUUCAGAAAGUACCAUAAUGUCAUCCUACUCUACAUUUCACAAGACAAAUUAUUUUGAGAUUUAUUAUAUUAAAUUUUUUUUAAGUUCUCACUAAAUUUUGACCCCCAUAUAAAGAAAUGUGUUAUGUAUGUUGUGCCUCCUUAGAGACAUAAAUUUAGUGUCAAAACAUGGGAGAUGGCUUACACAGAAGCAUACUCCACUUAACACACCAUGGCCUGAGCUAAGUACCAUGUCCUGUUUGUGUCUUAUUUUUAAAUAUUUUCUUUGUCCACAUGGGCAGUUGACAGAGUUAAGGCGGUUGCUUUUUUGAAGAAAUUGCCAAAGUUUCUGGGAAACUAUGUUCAAGGUUAAACUGGAGAGUAGAUUUAAUUUUAUUUGUCUUGUAGGGAAGAAAUCUUCCUUUGAACUGUUUUUCUUGCUUUUUCCCUUUUUCUCAAACUAGGUUACAGAUUCUUAUCUGCAAGGUUCAAGUUGCUUAGACACUGUUUUCCAGUAUUCUGCAGGGCCAGUCAGUUGUACAGAAGUUGGAAUAUUCUGUUCCAGAAUUAAAGAAGUUUUUAGAUUAUGAAAUAUUAUGAUAAUAAAGCUAUAUUUCUGACUAAUGUGUUGA